UAGGGAAUCUUCCGCAAUGGACGCAAGUCUGACGGAGCAACGCCGCGUGAGUGAAGAAGGAUUUCGGUUCGUAAAACUCUGUUGUUAGAGAAGAACAGCGCAUAGAGUAACUGUUAUGCGUGUGACGGUAUCUAACCAGAAAGCCACGGCUAACUACGUGCCAGCAGCCGCGGUAAUACGUAGGUGGCAAGCGUUGUCCGGAUUUCUUGGGCGUAAAGCGAGCGCAGGCGGUCAAUUAAGUCUGAUGUGAAAGCCCCCGGCUCAACCGGGGAGGGUCAUUGGAAACUGGUUGACUUGAGUGCAGAAGAGGAGAGUGGAAUUCCAUGUGUAGCGGUGAAAUGCGUAGAUAUAUGGAGGAACACCAGUGGCGAAGGCGACUCUCUGGUCUGUAACUGACGCUGAGGCUCGAAAGCGUGGGUAGCAAACAGG
rnacentral:rRNA from 1 species